rnacentral:lncRNA from 1 species
UGGGUUUGAAUCACUAAGUAUAAACUAGAUUGUUAAAAUACUCAUAAAUUGGGAGAAUCACUACAUGAAUAAAUUGUUCACGUUGCUGGUUAAACUAACACAAAUAAGAGUGGUGUGAGGAAAUCUUAAGCAAAACUGAACUUUAGAAUUACACCAUGAUAAGAGAAUAAAAGAACCAAGUUUGGGGGUAUGUGAAUCGUACGAGUGAAGAAAGAAAAUAAUUGACCAUUGAGGGUUGGGAAGUGAACCAACUUGUGAAUGUACGGCGCUACGCUUGACCCUCCACACACACACCCGCUUCGCAUUGUAUGAGUGGAAGUUUGGUUCUUGCAUUGUAAUUUUAACACGAUUCAUAAAUAUAAUAUAAUGUUAUCAAUGUUGAGCCAAAAAGACAAGCCGUCUAACUGACUAGUUGUGUGUGUAUCAUCUUUGGAUGAUUUUAUUGUUUGAUGUGUGUGUUUGCUAGAGGACUAGCAAACGGUUAAGUUUGGGAGUAUUUGAUGAGUUUGUUUCACUCAUGAAUUUUGCACAAGUCUAGCUUGAUUAAAUGCUAGAUCUUGUGAGUAUAGAACGUUUUUGAUGUGUUUGUUAAUGUUGUUUUGAAGAUUAGGAGAGGCGAUGCGAAAAGAGGUAUUAAAGUGGACAAAGAGACAAAAAACAUGAAAUUGGGGUAGAAAGACAGCGCUUAGGCGCUGCAUUCAUAGCGGAUAGGCGCUACGAAAUUGAAAAAAGAUGAAAUUUGAACCCAAGAGACAGCGUCUAGACGCUACAAUCAUAGCGCCCAGGUGUUAUCAUCUCUUAGGCACUGGAGACGUAGCACCCAAGCGCUGAUGCGCUGUCUCGUAGCACUUAGGCGCUGCGACUGAGUAUUUAGGGUGCAUUUUUU